UGCCUACAAGAAGUCAGAGCCCGUUAAAGGGUGAUGGCGUGCCUUUUGUAGAAUGAACCGGCGAGUUACUGUAUGGAGCGAGGUUAAGCAGGAUAUGCGGAGCCGAAGCGAAAGCGAGUCUUAAGAGGGCGAAAGUUGCAUGCAGUAGACCCGAAACCGGGUGAUCUAGCCAUGACCAGGUUGAAGUUGGGGUAAAACCCGAUGGAGGACCGAACCGACCCCCGUUGAAACGUUGGCGGAUGAGUUGUGGCUAGGGGUGAAAUUCCAAUCGAACCCGGAGAUAGCUGGUUCUCCCCGAAAUAGCUUUAGGGCUAGCGUCGAGGUAAAGAGUUGCGUGAAGGUAGAGCACUGAAUAUGUGAUGGCCCCAUCUCGGGGUACUGAGCAUAAUCAAACUGCGAAUGUCACGGAAACAUACUCGGCAGUCAGACAGCGGGUGAUAAGGUCCGUUGUCAAGAGGGAAACAGCCCAGACCAUCAGCUAAGGUCCCAAAAUGUAUGCUAAGUGGAAAAGGAUGUGGAGAUGUACAGACAACUAGGAGGUUGGCUCAGAAGCAGCCAUCCUUUAAAGAGUGCGUAACAGCUCACUAGUCGAAUGACUCUGCGCCGAUAAUUUACCGGGGCUAAGCAUACUACCGAAGCUAUGGAUCCUGAGGGAUGGUAGGGGAGCGUUCCAUGAACGGAGAAGCGCGAUCGAGAGGACGCGUGGAGAUCAUGGAAGAGAGAAUGCCGGUGUGAGUAGCGGAACGUGGGUGAGAAUCCCACGCACCGAAAACCCAAGGUUUCCAGAGGAAGGUUCGUCCGCUCUGGGUAAGUCGGGACCUAAGGCGAGGCCGAGAGGCGUAGUCGAUGGACAACAGGUAGAGAUUCCUGUACUCAUAUAUAUGUGAAGGAAUGACGGAGAGAGGAAGCUGCAGCCAGCGGCUGGAAGAGCUGGUGCAAGCGAGAUAUCGGGAUGGCAGGCAAAUCCACCAUCCGAAACGAGAAGGCGUGAAGCGUACGGAAAGCUAAGGCGAGUACGGAAGGCAGUGGAGGAGCUUCCAAGAAAAGUUUCUAACGAAAGUAUAUGUGACCCGUACCGAAAAUGGACACACAUGGGUGAGGAGAGAAUCCUAAGGUGAGCGAGAGAACUAUAGCUAAGGAACUCUGCAAAAUGACUCCGUAACUUAGGGAGAAGGAGUGCUCAUAGAGAUAUGAGCCGCAGUGAAACGGCCCAAGCGACUGUUUACCAAAAACACAGCUCUAUGCUAAGUCGAAAGACGACGUAUAUGGGGUGACGCCUGCCCGGUGCUGGAAGGUUAAGAGGAUGUGUCAGCGCAAGCGAAGCAUUGAAUUGAAGCCCCAGUAAACGGCGGCCGUAACUAUAACGGUCCUAAGGUAGCGAAAUUCCUUGUCAGGUAAGUUCUGACCCGCACGAAAGGCGUAACGAUUUGGGCGCUGUCUCAGCUGUAGACUCGGUGAAGUCUUAGUACCUGUGAAGAUGCAGGUUACCCGCGACUAGACGGAAAGACCCCAUGGAGCUUCACUGCAGGUUGAUAUUGGGAUUUGAUGCAGCAUGUACAGGAUAGGUAGGAGGCAAAGAGAUGGAUACGCCAGUAUUCAAGGAGCCGCUGUUGGGAUACUACCCCUGUUGUAUUGGAUUUCUAACCGGACGACGUAAAGCCGUUGACGGGACAGUGUCAGUCGGGCAGUUUGACUGGGGCGGUCGCCUCCCAAAGAGUAACGGAGGCGCCCAAAGAUACCCUCAGCUUGGAUGGAAACCAAGCGCAGAGUGCAAAGGCAAAAGGGUGUUUGACUGCGAGACCCACAAGUCGAGCAGGGACGAAAGUCGGGCUUAGUGAUCCGGCGGUGCUGAAUGGAAAGGCCGUCGCUCAACGGAUAAAAGCUACCCUGGGGAUAACAGGCUGAUCUCCCCCAAGAGUUCACAUCGACGGGGAGGUUUGGCACCUCGAUGUCGGCUCA
rnacentral:rRNA from 1 species